AUUGAACGCUGGCGGCAGGCCUAACAAAUGCAAGUCGAACGAGUGGCGGACGGGUGAGUAAUGUCUGGGAAACUGCCCGAUGGAGGGGGAUAACUACUGGAAACGGUAGCUAAUACCGCAUACCAUCGGAUGUGCCCAGAUGGGAUUAGCUUGUAGGUGAGGUAACGGCUCACCUAGGCGACGAUCCCUAGCUGGUCUGAGAGGAUGACCAGGCACGAUGGAACUGAGACACGGUCCAGACUCCUACGGGAGUCAGCAGUGGGGAAUAUUGCACAAUGGGCUCAAUCCUGAUGCAGCCAGGCCGCGGGUAUGAAGAAGGCCUUCGGGUUUUAAAGUACUUUCAGCUGGGAGGCGUUACCCUCAGAAGAAUCACCGGCUAACUCCGUGCCAGCCGCCGCGGUAAUAC
rnacentral:rRNA from 1 species